rnacentral:misc_RNA from 1 species
AACUUAUCAACCGUGACUUGGGUUUAGGCCCCUGGCUCGGCUUGGAUUUGGGUGCUUGCGGUCCGCCGCUCACCUCAAAAGGAUUAGCUGGACAUGUCGUGAGACUUGGUUCUACUUGGCGUAAUAAGUAUUUCGCUGAGGACAUCCCCUCGUGGGGUGGCCAUGACUCUGGUACAAACGUCUGCUUUCUAACCCGAUCGUCCUCGGACAUCACUUUUUUAUG